rnacentral:rRNA from 1 species
CGUUAGUAGUAUCAGUAACAGAAAUCUUAUUAGGGAUAAGCUUAAUAUCAUAUUUUUAUAUGUUUGUUCAAAUAGGGUUGUCAAAGGAUUAAUAGUGCCUCUAUGUUUUGUAACUGACUNCACAUUUGCUUAUAUUAAUUAGGUAUAUGAGGGUAUCUUGAAAUUUCUUUUGUUAGUAAUAAUGGUAGAAUUAGUAAAUUUAGAUUUUAGUGCUUUAGUUAAGGUGAGCUANGUAAGGUAGUUUAAUUCUAUAAAUUUUGGUAAGGAACUAGGCAAAAAUUUUUCUUAACUGUCUAUCAAAAACAUUUCUUUAAGUUAGGAUUUAAAGUAUUCUCUGCCCCCUGAUUUUANUAUUUAAAGGGCCGCAUUACCCUGACUGUGUUAAACAUACACAUUCGUUNGGUUAUUAAANUGGGAUUGUGAAAAGAAGAAAAUAAAAAGGGGAAGUGUCUCUNCCNAUGGGGGGAGUAAAAAAAUUUUUUAAGAGGAUGNGGAGGANUUUUUAGUGGGACGAUAUUACCCCUAAAAACUUUANUAAUUNUUUUAGUUAAAAUUUUUACUACNUUUAUUGGAGGGGUUAGGUUUCCUGGGGGGGGAAGAAAUAAAAUUGAGUUAUUUUUUNUUUUUUAGGGUCCCCCAUUGAGGGNNAAUAUGAGUAAGGUUCCUUUGGGAGAACAGCGCUUAUAUAUCNUUGGAGGUUUAAUNGGAGGAUAUGGAUGUGACCUCGAUGUUGAAUUAACCUUAUUGUAAGGUGAAGAAGCUUUAUGAGUUAGUCUGUUCGACUAUUGAAGGGUUACGUGAUUUGAGUUCAAACCGGUUUAAGCCAGGUUGGUUUCUAUCUACUGAGUUUAAAAGGUUUCUUAGUACGAAAGGACCAGAGACCUUAGAUUUUCUAAUUGAUUACGUUUUGGUCUAUUUUAGNUCCU